AAAACCUUUACGCAAAUCACUACUUUAUUCAGCUUCUCUCUUAGUGAAACGCUUCGAUCUUCACUGUGAAAAUGGCUUGGCGAAGUGCAGGAUCCUUGUCUCGCUCUGUCAUCUCUGCCGCGAGGGCUCCUUCACUCCGCUCCCCUCCACCGCUACCCCGGCUACGUCCCUCGGUUUCCUCUGCUCCUCGCCUCCAGUCCCGCCGCCUCUCUUAUGCUCCUUCCAGAAAUUUGGGAGAAUUGGGAUGUGUCCAAUCGUUCUUGCCUCUGCAUAGCAUGGUUCCUACGGCUUGUCUCACGUCACACCUGACUGUUAACGUGCGGGCUUGUUGCGAGCUGUCUCACGGUACCUUCUGCCGUACUUGUCAGGAUCGCUAGUAGUCUCUUUGGAGGAAUGGAAAAGAUGGGUGAUGCACGUGGACUUUCAAUCAGCUAAAGGAGAGAGAAUUGUACCACAUUGUACUUGAAAGGCCAUGGAUGAGCACAGCAGAGUGCAAUUGGAUGUCGAAGAUUAGUUUGUUACCGUGGGGAACCAGAGGCUUAAGUCGUCUGAUUAGAAAAAUCUCAAUAAAAAAAAAGACGUUUUCUAUUUACGAUACUGUAAGGAAGAUACCUGUAAUUCUCUUAUAUGAUCACCUUGUUAAGCACAUUUAGAUUUUUGCUCCAAUUGAUCAUCAAUUCCUUUGGUUUGUGAUGCUUGACUGCAUGUUAUUGAUAGCUUUAACAUAAUAUUUUGUUUUAUAA